UACAUGGGGUGCAAACGUUGCUCGGAAUUAUUGGGCGUAAAGCGCGCGUAGGCGGUUACUCAAGUCGGAUGUGAAAGCCCUCGGCUUAACUGAGGAAGUGCACCCGAAACUGAGUAGCUAGAGUACUAAAGAGGGUCGCGGAAUUCCCGGUGUAGAGGUGAAAUUCGUAGAUAUCGGGAGGAACACCAGUGGCGAAGGCGGCGAUCUGGGUAGAUACUGACGCUGAGGUGCGAAAGCGUGGGGAGCAAACAGG
rnacentral:rRNA from 1 species